CUACAGAAGGGUUAUUGUGAUAUUUUGGUCAGUUGUUAGGUUCCUAGGUUUGAAGAAUACAAAAGGCUUUUCACUGAACUGCAUUGCAUCAUGUCAUGUAUGGAAGAUGUCUCUGAAGUACUUUUUGAGUACUUCAUCCCUCUGAUAAAACCCAGGCAUCAUGAAAGCGAAUGGAAGGUGGUAACUUACCAGUGUCGCUUAAAACAAUUUUUAAGUCUUUGCACCAACAUUUAUUCUGAAUUAUAGUAGAAUACCAUAGAUCACAUUGAACUUUAUCAAUGCCUAUUUAGGAAAAUUUCCAAUCUAUUACAAGCAAUGGAAUGAUGAGGAGUUUUCUUAAACAAAUGAGGUCUUGUUUCUGUACUGGAAAAUAUUUCAUACCUAACUUCCUCUUCCCUUUUUUGCGUGCGAUCUUCAACUUGAUUUAAAUGGAAAUUAUCACAAUGAAAAAUAUUAAAUAGCAUUACUGUUUUGUGGUGCAAAUGAGGCCAGUAUUUCAUAUCUAGAUUGUAUUAAUAAACUAUGCAAUUAUUUGGAAUCUUCAAGAAAGUGCCCAGAAUUGAUUUUUCUGUUAAUUUAUUAAUGUUUCCUUUUAUUAACACAGUAAUAAAGGAAAAUGUAUAUUUUUAUUUCAAUAAAGUUAAAGUAGCUGAGAGAUAUCAAAGCUAUCUUAUCAUAAAGAGGAUUUCUAACAUUCAACAAAAAUAUGCACUGGUUAUUGUCUUUGUACAUCCUGACUGUAGAUGCUGCCUCUCAAGGAUGCACAGGAAGCCAUAUUUUGCUCCAUAAAUGAAAACAGUGUGUAUAUUUUUGUCAAUUAAAUUGAUAGUAAUUUUAAAUGCCAGAAAACGGUUAUAGGCAUUUUGUUUUUAAAGAACAAUUAAGUAUUUGCAAAUGUUUUUGGUCUCUUG